AAAAGCGGAGGAAAAGAAACUAACAAGGAUUCCCCUAGUAACGGCGAGUGAAGAGGGAAAAGCCCAAAUUUGUAAUCUGGCUCUUUUAGAGUCCGAGUUGUAAUUUUGAGAACUGUUUUCUGUGCUGGACCAUGUACAAGUCUGUUGAAAAACAGCAUCAUUGAGGGUGAAAAUCCCGUACAUGAUAUGGACUACCAGUGCAAUGUGAUACAGUCUCUAAGAGUCGAGUUGUUUGGGAAUGCAGCUCAAAGUGGGUGGUAAAUUCCAUCUAAGGCUAAAUAUAGGUGAGAGACCGAUAGCAAACAAGUACCGUGAGGGAAAGAUGAAAAGAACUUUGGAAAGAGAGUUAACAGUACGUGAAAUUGUUAAAAGGGAAACAUUUGAAGUUAGACUUGUUAUUGUUGGUUCAGCUUUCUUUUUUGAAGGUGUAUUCCAAUGGUUAACAGACCAGCAUCAAUUUUUGAGUGUUAGAUAAGGGUCUUGAGAAUGUAGCAAUUUCGGUUGUGUUAUAGCUCUUGACUUUGAUAUAAUGCUUAGGAUUGAGGAACGCAGUGAGCUUUUUAUUAAGUGGAUGCCUUUGGGGAUCUUCUCACUACGGAUGUUGGUGUAAUAGCUUUAAAUGACCCGUCU
rnacentral:rRNA from 1 species